UUAGGGACAAAAUUGGGGUCUUACAGACCUCAUUUGUCCUUUUAUUCUUUUUUCCUUUUAUUUACCAUGUUAUUUUAUUUUCUUCUUUUUUUAUUAUUUAGUUCUUUUCCAUUUUAGUUUAUUUCAUUUAUUUAUUUUUCAACCAAAUAUGUUGUAAAUACACUUCAUCAAAAUAUUUUAUUUUUAUUAAUCCAUUGUUUUUUUAAUUUUUAUCAUUGGGCAUAUUUACCAUUGUGUUUGAUUAUUAAUUGAUGAUAUUCUAAUGAUCAUGGAAAUUGGUCUUAUGGUUUUAUUAAUCUUAAAC
rnacentral:lncRNA from 1 species